rnacentral:rRNA from 1 species
GGCCUAUCAGCUUGUUGGUGAGGUAGUGGCUCACCAAGGCGACGACGGGUAGCCGGCCUGAGAGGGCGACCGGCCACACUGGGACUGAGACACGGCCCAGACUCCUACGGGAGGCAGCAGUGGGGAAUAUUGCACAAUGGGCGAAAGCCUGAUGCAGCGACGCCGCGUGAGGGAUGACGGCCUUCGGGUUGUAAACCUCUUUCAGCAGGGAAGAAGCGAAAGUGACGGUACCUGCAGAAGAAGCGCCGGCUAACUACGUGCCAGCAGCCGCGGUAAUACGUAGGGCGCAAGCGUUGUCCGGAAUUAUUGGGCGUAAAGAGCUCGUAGGCGGCUUGUCACGUCGGUUGUGAAAGCCCGGGGCUUAACCCCGGGUCUGCAGUCGAUACGGGCAGGCUAGAGUUCGGUAGGGGAGAUCGGAAUUCCUGGUGUAGCGGUGAAAUGCGCAGAUAUCAGGAGGAACACCGGUGGCGAAGGCGGAUCUCUGGGCCGAUACUGACGCUGAGGAGCGAAAGCGUGGGGAGCGAACAGGAUUAGAUACCCUGGUAGUCCACGCCGUAAACGGUGGGCACUAGGUGUGGGCAACAUUCCACGUUGUCCGUGCCGCAGCUAACGCAUUAAGUGNCCCGCCUGGGGAGUACGG